UCCCUGGUGGUCUAGUGGUUAAGACUCCAUGCUUCCAAUGCAUAGGGCCCAAGUCUGAUCCCUGGUCAGGGAA
rnacentral:tRNA from 1 species